AAUAGAUACCCGGGUAGUCCACCCCGUAAACGUUGGGAACUAGUUGUGGGGUCCAUUCCACGGAUUCCGUGACGCAGCUAACGCAUUAAGUUCCCCGCCUGGGGAGUACGGCCGCAAGGCUAAAACUCAAAGGAAUUGACGGGGACCCGCACAAGCGGCGGAGCAUGCGGAUUAAUUCGAUGCAACGCGAAGAACCUUACCAAGGCUUGACAUAUACGAGAACGCUGCAGAAAUGUAGAACUCUUUGGACACUCGUAAACAGGUGGUGCAUGGUUGUCGUCAGCUCGUGUCGUGAGAUGUUGGGUUAAGUCCCGCAACGAGCGCAACCCUCGUUCUAUGUUGCCAGCACGUAAUGGUGGGAACUCAUGGGAUACUGCCGGGGUCAACUCGGAGGAAGGUGGGGAUGACGUCAAAUCAUCAUGCCCCUUAUGUCUUGGGCUUCACGCAUGCUACAAUGGCCGGUACAAAGGGCUGCAAUACCGUAAGUGGAGCGAAUCCCAAAAAGCCGGUCCAGUUCGGAUUGAGGUCUGCAACUCGA
rnacentral:rRNA from 1 species